rnacentral:rRNA from 1 species
GACGAACGCUGGCGGCGUGCUUAACACAUGCAAGUCAAACGGGAUCCAUGUUGUAGCAAUACUUCGGAAGAUCUAGUGGCGAACGGGCGAGGAACACGUGAGAAACCUGCCCCGAACUUCGGGAUAACAGUUGGAAACGAUUGCUAAUACCGAAUACCUCUGCGAAGUGGCAUCACUUUGCAAAGAAAGAAUUUCGGUUCGGGAGGGUCUCGCGGCCUAUCGGCUAGUUGGUGGGGUAACGGCCUACCAAGGCAUCGACGGGUAGCUGGUCUGAGAGGAUGAUCAGCCACACUGGGACUGAGACACGGCCCAGACUCCUACGGGAGGCAGCAGUGGGGAAUCUUGUGCAAUGGGCGAAAGCCUGACACAGCAACGCCGCGUGCGGGAAGAAGGCCUUCGGGUCGUAAACCGCUUUCAGCAGGAACGAAAAUGACGGUACCUGCAGAAGAAGGUGCGGCCAACUACGUGCCAGCAGCCGCAGUAA